rnacentral:rRNA from 1 species
GAUUAAGUUAUUAAGGGCGCACGGUGGAUGCCUUGGCACUAGAAGCCGAUGAAGGACGUUACUAACGACGAUAUGCUUUGGGGAGCUGUAAGUAAGCUUUGAUCCAGAGAUUUCCGAAUGGGGAAACCCAGCAUGAGUUAUGUCAUGUUAUCGAUAUGUGAAUACAUAGCAUAUCAGAAGGCACACCCGGAGAACUGAAACAUCUUAGUACCCGGAGGAAGAGAAAGAAAAUUCGAUUCCCUUAGUAGCGGCGAGCGAAACGGGAAGAGCCCAAACCAACAAGCUUGCUUGUUGGGGUUGUAGGACACUCUAUACGGAGUUACAAAGGACGACAUUAGACGAAUCAUCUGGAAAGAUGAAUCAAAGAAGGUAAUAAUCCUGUAGUCGAAAAUGUUGUCUCUCUUGAGUGGAUCCUGAGUACGACGGAGCACGUGAAAUUCCGUCGGAAUCUGGGAGGACCAUCUCCUAAGGCUAAAUACUCUCUAGUGACCGAUAGUGAACCAGUACCGUGAGGGAAAGGUGAAAAGCACCCCGGAAGGGGAGUGAAAUAGAACCUGAAACCGUGUGCUUACAAGUAGUCAGAGCCCGUUAAUGGGUGAUGGCGUGCCUUUUGUAGAAUGAACCGGCGAGUUACGAUUUGAUGCAAGGUUAAGCAGUAAAUGUGGAGCCGUAGCGAAAGCGAGUCUGAAUAGGGCGUUUAGUAUUUGGUCGUAGACCCGAAACCAGGUGAUCUACCCUUGGUCAGGUUGAAGUUCAGGUAACACUGAAUGGAGGACCGAACCGACUUACGUUGAAAAGUGAGCGGAUGAACUGAGGGUAGCGGAGAAAUUCCAAUCGAACCUGGAGAUAGCUGGUUCUCUCCGAAAUAGCUUUAGGGCUAGCCUCAAGUGAUGAUUAUUGGAGGUAGAGCACUGUUUGGACGAGGGGCCCCUCUCGGGUUACCGAAUUCAGACAAACUCCGAAUGCCAAUUAAUUUAACUUGGGAGUCAGAACAUGGGUGAUAAGGUCCGUGUUCGAAAGGGAAACAGCCCAGACCACCAGCUAAGGUCCCAAAAUAUAUGUUAAGUGGAAAAGGAUGUGGCGUUGCCCAGACAACUAGGAUGUUGGCUUAGAAGCAGCCAUCAUUUAAAGAGUGCGUAAUAGCUCACUAGUCGAGUGACACUGCGCCGAAAAUGUACCGGGGCUAAACAUAUUACCGAAGCUGUGGAUUGUCCUUUGGACAAUGGUAGGAGAGCGUUCUAAGGGCGUUGAAGCAUGAUCGUAAGGACAUGUGGAGCGCUUAGAAGUGAGAAUGCCGGUGUGAGUAGCGAAAGACGGGUGAGAAUCCCGUCCACCGAUUGACUAAGGUUUCCAGAGGAAGGCUCGUCCGCUCUGGGUUAGUCGGGUCCUAAGCUGAGGCCGACAGGCGUAGGCGAUGGAUAACAGGUUGAUAUUCCUGUACCACCUAUAAUCGUUUUAAUCGAUGGGGGGACGCAGUAGGAUAGGCGAAGCGUGCGAUUGGAUUGCACGUCUAAGCAGUAAGGCUGAGUAUUAGGCAAAUCCGGUACUCGUUAAGGCUGAGCUGUGAUGGGGAGAAGACGUUGUGUCUUCGAGUCGUUGAUUUCACACUGCCGAGAAAAGCCUCUAGAUAGAAAAUAGGUGCCCGUACCGCAAACCGACACAGGUAGUCAAGAUGAGAAUUCUAAGGUGAGCGAGCGAACUCUCGUUAAGGAACUCGGCAAAAUGACCCCGUAACUUCGGGAGAAGGGGUGCUCUUUAGGGUUAACGCCCAGAAGAGCCGCAGUGAAUAGGCCCAAGCGACUGUUUAUCAAAAACACAGGUCUCUGCUAAACCGUAAGGUGAUGUAUAGGGGCUGACGCCUGCCCGGUGCUGGAAGGUUAAGAGGAGUGGUUAGCUUCUGCGAAGCUACGAAUCGAAGCCCCAGUAAACGGCGGCCGUAACUAUAACGGUCCUAAGGUAGCGAAAUUCCUUGUCGGGUAAGUUCCGACCCGCACGAAAGGCGUAACGAUUUGGGCACUGUCUCAACGAGAGACUCGGUGAAAUCAUAGUACCUGUGAAGAUGCAGGUUACCCGCGACAGGACGGAAAGACCCCGUGGAGCUUUACUGUAGCCUGAUAUUGAAAUUCGGCACAGCUUGUACAGGAUAGGUAGGAGCCUUUGAAACGUGAGCGCUAGCUUACGUGGAGGCGCUGGUGGGAUACUACCCUAGCUGUGUUGGCUUUCUAACCCGCACCACUUAUCGUGGUGGGAGACAGUGUCAGGCGGGCAGUUUGACUGGGGCGGUCGCCUCCUAAAAGGUAACGGAGGCGCUCAAAGGUUCCCUCAGAAUGGUUGGAAAUCAUUCAUAGAGUGUAAAGGCAUAAGGGAGCUUGACUGCGAGACCUACAAGUCGAGCAGGGUCGAAAGACGGACUUAGUGAUCCGGUGGUUCCGCAUGGAAGGGCCAUCGCUCAACGGAUAAAAGCUACCCCGGGGAUAACAGGCUUAUCUCCCCCAAGAGUUCACAUCGACGGGGAGGUUUGGCACCUCGAUGUCGGCUCAUCGCAUCCUGGGGCUGUAGUCGGUCCCAAGGGUUGGGCUGUUCGCCCAUUAAAGCGGUACGCGAGCUGGGUUCAGAACGUCGUGAGACAGUUCGGUCCCUAUCCGUCGUGGGCGUAGGAAAUUUGAGAGGAGCUGUCCUUAGUACGAGAGGACCGGGAUGGACAUACCUCUGGUGUACCAGUUGUCGUGCCAACGGCAUAGCUGGGUAGCUAUGUGUGGACGGGAUAAGUGCUGAAAGCAUCUAAGCAUGAAGCCCCCCUCAAGAUGAGAUUUCCCAACUUCGGUUAUAAGAUCCCUCAAAGAUGAUGAGGUUAAUAGGUUCGAGGUGGAAGCAUGGUGACAUGUGGAGCUGACGAAUACUAAUCGAUCGAAGACUUAAUCAA